AGAGUUUGAUCCUGGCUCAGGAUGAACGCUAGCUACAGGCUUAACACAUGCAAGUCGAGGGGAAACGGACAUCGAAAGCUUGCUUUUGAUGGGCGUCGACCGGCGCACGGGUGAGUAACGCGUAUCCAACCUGCCCACCACUUGGGGAUAACCUUGCGAAAGUAGACUAAUACCCAAUGACGUCUCUAGAAGACAUCUGAAAGAGAUUAAAGAUUUAUCGGUGAUGGAUGGGGAUGCGUCUGAUUAGCUUGUUGGCGGGGUAACGGCCACCAAGGCGACGAUCAGUAGGGGUUCUGGAGAGGAAGGUCCCCCANACUUGGAACUGAGACACGGUCCAAACUCCUACGGGAGGCA
rnacentral:rRNA from 1 species